CCCCCCCCCAAAAAAAAAAAGAUAAUGUUUUUAGUGUACACUGUUUCUUUUGUACAAUUACAACUUACUACAUACAUAUACAAAUAUUGACAAUUUUUUUUUCUAUUUUUAGGAUACUUUUUGAUUUCUUGGAAUAGUUUCUUCAAAUCAGAAGUAUACAUUUUGGACAAAUUUUUGUAAACUGGUAUUCAAAUAACUGUUAAUAAACAUGCAAAACACCGCUAUCAAGACAACCAACUGCACAUUUAGUCUUCCUAUUAUAACGGCGAUCUUGAAUGUAGUUCAGAUUUGACGCAAACGUUGCGGCAACUUUUCCAGACAGGGAUAGUCGAAUGACUGUAAGAAAGAAAGCUUAACACCAAGAUCAAGGAUACUUUUUGAUUUCUUGGAAUAGUUUCUUCAAAUCAGAAGCAUACAUCUUGGACAAUUUUUUGUAAACAGGUAUUCAAAUAACUGUUAAUAAACAUGCAAAACACCGCUAUCAAGACAACCAACUGCACAGUUAGUCUUCCUAUUAUAACGGCGAUCUUGUAUGUAGUUCAGGUUUGUGAUUAAUAUUUACUAAACGUUAAAAGUAAAAUAACAAAAAAAUACUUAACUUUGAGGAAAAUCAAUUUGGAAAGUCCAUAAUCACAUGGCAAAACAUAAUACCAAAACGCAUCAAAAACGAAUGGACAAGAACUCAUAUUCCUGACAUGGUACAGGCAUUUUCAAAUUUAGAAAAUGGUGAAUUAAACCUGGUUUCAUAGCGGUAACCCUCUGACUUUGGUGACAGUCUCAUCAAAUUCCGUUAUAUUUACAAAAGCUUUUUUUAUGAGUAAUUACAAAUAAUAUGACGUUUUUUAAUUGCAUGGGAAGUCUUCAACACAUCAGAGCUGGUGACAAAUUAUGCAAAAAAAAAUAGAUAGGCAAUGCUAUUAAUAGAUACAUGUAUCUGCAUUUAUGGAUAUUGAUUAUUUUUGUAAAACAAUUAUUGAUCUGAAACAAAUUUAGUAUAUACGGGUUUCUAUUGUUUUUUGAUAACUUGCUUCAUUAAUAUACAAUUGUUGACGAUUUGUAAUAAUUAAUUUCACAAUAAUUUUAAUACUUAAGGAAUACUCUCAUUAGAUUUGACGCAAAAGUUGCGGCAACUUUUCCAGACAGGGAUAGUCGAAUGACUGUAAGAAAGAAAGCUUAACACCAAGAUCAAGGUAUUUCA